rnacentral:tRNA from 1 species
GCUAUUUUAGCAUAAUAAUUGUAAUAAAUUUAGAAUUUAUUGAUAUAAAAAAAAAAAUUAUAAAUAGUA